UCCUACGGGAGGCAGCAGUAGGGAAUAUUGCACAAUGGAGGAAACUCUGAUGCAGCCAUGCCGCGUGUGUGAAGAAGGCCUUCGGGUUGUAAAGCACUUUCGGAGGGGAGGAGAAUGACGUUACCCUCAGAAGAAGCACCGGCUAACUCCGUGCCAGCAGCCGCGGUAAUACGGAGGGUGCAAGCGUUAAUCGGAAUAACUGGGCGUAAAGGGCAUGCAGGCGGUUAAACAAGUAGGAUGUGAAGUCCCCGGGCUCAACCUGGGAGCUGCAUACUAAACUGUUUAACUAGAGUAUUGCAGGGGGAGACGGAAUUCCAGGUGUAGCGGUGGAAUGCGUAGAUAUCCGGAAGAACACCAAAGGCGAAGGCAGUCUCCUGGGCAAAUACUAACGCUCAUAUGCGAAAGCGUGGGUAGCAAACAGGAUUAGAUACCCUGGUAGUCC
rnacentral:rRNA from 1 species